UACAGAGGGGGCAAGCGUUGUUCGGAAUUACUGGGCGUAAAGGGCGCGUAGGCGGCCUUCUAAGUCGAACGUGAAAUCCCCGGGCUCAACCCGGGAACUGCGUCCGAUACUGGAAGGCUUGAAUCCGGGAGAGGGAUGCGGAAUUCCAGGUGUAGCGGUGAAAUGCGUAGAUAUCGGGAGGAACACCGGUGGCGAAGGCGGCCCCCUGGUUGGAUACUGACGCUGAGACGCGAAAGCGUGGGGAGCAAACAGG
rnacentral:rRNA from 1 species